rnacentral:lncRNA from 1 species
UUCCACCUCCAUCAAAAACUACCCAGUCAACNAUAGAAAAAAUUUAAAAAAAUCUAUUUUUAUUUAAGUAUAUCAAAAUACAGUAUAGAAUAUUAAAAGACGGGUAUAGAAGGAGUAAACACAGGAGACAGGAAUAACAAGACAAAAGGGUUUGUGAAUACAUAUAUCUCUUGAAUUAUGUGUUAAUACAGAAGUAAAAUUUGGGACAAAUAGACACUUUAACCCUUAUCUUACCGUCUGUGAGAUGGCUAUGAGGCCUGAACAAUAGCCCACCUUUCCCUCUCAGAUUCCAUGCCCCUUCUGAUUUCCUGAAGGAAGUAGAGCUACUUAGGCAGAAUCAACUGCAUCUGAGAAAGAUGAAAACAUUAGGGGCUUUCCCAUUUAGAACUGCAUUAUUCACACAAAUUCUUGGCUUCUGAAAAGAGGCUUUUAGAUAAUUUGGUGGUUUAGAAAACUUAGAUCACAACUGUGAAGCUCUGUCUUUGGUGUUUGAGCCCCCAUUGCCUGAUUGAGGAAGUGGCAGGGACCCAUGUCUGAGGACCUCCCACCCUCUCUACUUUCUGUCUUUCCACUCUUGGGGAAAUAAGACCUUUAAUUUCCACAGUAGAGCUAUGGGUUUGUGCUUGGCGGUCCUUCUGUGCAUUCCUUAUUAUUUCCCUUUUCUGUUCAUUCAUGCCUGAUUCCCUGAACCCCUCAUUUAACCUGGCCUUUACCUAGGUCUCUGAGCCUCAGCCUGCAAGGCUCCUUCCUUGACUAUUCAAGACCCAACUCACAGAUGAUGUCUCUGGAACCUUCCCUGGAUACUCUAGGCAGGCAUAAAUUGGAUAACUGUCACCCAUCCCUUACCCCUCUCACUGUGCCUCCAAAGUACUUUGUCCAUACCUCGGUGAUAGUACUUAUUCUACUGUGAUUCUACUGUAGCUUUGUGAUUGUCUGCCCCUCUGCACCAGGUGUCCAUCCUGACAACAGAGGGCCAAGCCUUAUUCAUUUUCGUGUUAAUAAAUGUUUGUUGAAUGUGGGAGAGAGUUCUAUUAUUUGCUCUA